AACGUCUCAGUUCGGAUUGUAGUCUGCAACUCGACUACAUGAAGCUGGAAUCGCUAGUAAUCGCGAAUCAGAAUGUCGCGGUGAAUACGUUCCCGGGCCUUGUACACACCGCCCGUCAAGCCAUGGGAGCCGGGGGUGCCUGAAGUUCGUUACCGUAAGGAUCGACCUAGGGCAAAACUGGUGACUGGGGCUAAGUCGUAACAAGGUAGC
rnacentral:rRNA from 1 species